ACCAUAAUGUCAUGCCUACACCUCUCGCUAAUUAAUAACCUAAAAACGAUGGUACGUCUGGUUGAGGGUCAAUAUCGAUCAGAUUAUCAAAUAAUAUACCAAAAUUGAUACAUAUGAUACAUAUGAAUGAUAUAUGUUUUGGAUAUAUUAUUUGUUAAAAUUAAUUCAUCAGGUGAUGAUGUGAUGAUAAUCAUUGAAAAAUGACAAAAAUCCCCUGAUUAAGUAUGAUAAAAAUAGUAAGUAAAAAAGGCAAAUACUUUUUACUUACAAAAUAUUUACUUAUUGGAAUAAAUAAUUUAAUCUUUCAUAUAUAUAGCUGAUACACAACAAAAAAAAAUAAAAAAAAAAAAAAUUAUAAAUAUUUUUAUUUUUUUUUGUUAAUAUUAUUAUUAUACUUUUUACCCAGCUUUAAUAACUACAAUAAUGAAUGAAAAAAAAAAAAAAUAAUAAAUAUGACACAAAAAUACAAAAUAUAUUAAUUCUUUUUUUACUUUGACCACCUCAUAACUGCCAAAUACCUAUAAUAAAUAAGGACCCUGCUGUGUCCGUGGCCUUGUUACACACAGUCAUCAUCACAUACCAUCUAAACAUUCUCUAAU
rnacentral:misc_RNA from 1 species